AUCAUCCAUGUCCCUAAUCCCUCAAACCAAAAUAUUGGUCUUAGUGGCUAAAAAUAGGAGGAAAAGGAAACAUGAACCGGAAUUGGAGUCUUCAGUGACAAACAAGG
rnacentral:snoRNA from 1 species